GACGAACGCUGGCGGCGUGCCUAAUACAUGCAAGUAGGACGAGUUGCGAACGGGUGAGCAACGCGUGGUAACCUACCUAUUAGAGGGGGAUAACUACUGGAAACGGUAGCUAAUACCGCAUACCCUCGGAUGUGCACAGAUGGGAUUGGCUAGUGGGGGGGGUAACGGCUCACCUAGGCGACGAUCCCUAGCUGGUAUGAGAGGAUGACCAGCCACACUGGAAUUGAGACACGGUCCAGACUCCUACGGGAGGCAGCAGUGGGGAAUAUUGCACAAUGGGCGCAAGCCUGAUACAGCCAUGCCGCGUGUAUGAAGAAGGCCUUCGGGUUGUAAAGUACUUUCAGCGAGGAGGCGUUACUCGCAGAAGAAGCACCGGCUAACUCCGUGCCAGCAGCCGCGGUAAUUC
rnacentral:rRNA from 1 species